CCAGACUCCUACGGGAGGCAGCAGUGGGGAGUAUUGCACAAUGGGGGAAACCCUGAUGCAGCGACGCCGCGUGAGCGAUGAAGUAUUUCGGUAUGUAAAGCUCUAUCAGCAGGGAAGAAAAUGACGGUACCUGUCGAAUAAGCCACGGCUAACUACGUGCCAGCAGCCGCGGUAAUACGUAGGUGGCAAGCGUUGUCCGGAUUUACUGGGUGUAAAGGGCGUGUAGCCGGGCUGACAAGUCAGGUGUGAAAUCCGGGGGCUCAACCCCCGAACUGCAUUUGAAACUGUUGGUCUUGAGUAUCGGAGAGGCAGGCGGAAUUCCUAGUGUAGCGGUGAAAUGCGUAGAUAUUAGGAGGAACACCAGUGGCGAAGGCGGCCUGCUGGACUGUGACUGACGUUGAGGCCCGAAGGCGUGGGGAGCAAACAGGAUUAGAUACCCCAGUAC
rnacentral:rRNA from 1 species